rnacentral:lncRNA from 1 species
UGUCGAUUCCAACCUCUUUAAUCCAUCUGAUAACCUCUUCUCGUGUACCAAAUCUUUCCGUCGUCAUAAACGCAUCAGUAGUAUCUACACAUAUUUUGGGAAGAUUUUCCAUUUCUGCCAAAAAAAAAUUAAAAAAAUUAAAAUUAAAAUUAAAAAAAAAAACGUACCAGAAGACUUAAAGAAAGACUUUCGGAACACACAUAACACAUACCGGAACACUUCCCCCAAGAGUUCCGCUAUGCAAAAUUUGUUCACCGGAACUCUUUUAAGAAGUGUUCC